rnacentral:rRNA from 1 species
AUUGAACGCUGGCGGCAUGCCUUACACAUGCAAGUCGAACGGCAGCACGGGUGCUUGCACCUGGUGGCGAGUGGCGAACGGGUGAGUAAUACAUCGGAACAUGUCCUGUAGUGGGGGAUAGCCCGGUGAAAGCCGGAUUAAUACCGCAUACGAUCUACGGAUGAAAGCGGGGGACCUUCGGGCCUCGCGCUAUAGGGUUGGCCGAUGGCUGAUUAGCUAGUUGGUGGGGUAAAGGCCUACCAAGGCGACGAUCAGUAGCUGGUCUGAGAGGACGACCAGCCACACUGGGACUGAGACACGGCCCAGACUCCUACGGGAGGCAGCAGUGGGGAAUUUUGGACAAUGGGCGAAAGCCUGAUCCAGCAAUGCCGCGUGUGUGAAGAAGGCCUUCGGGUUGUAAAGCACUUUUGUCCGGAAAGAAAUCCUUGGCCCUAAUACGGUCGGGGGAUGACGGUACCGGAAGAAUAGGCACCGGCUAACUACGUG